rnacentral:rRNA from 1 species
CACACGCACGGACGCUCUGCUCUCGGGUGACGAGCGGCGGACGGGUGAGUAAUGUCUGGGAAACUGCCUGAUGGAGGGGGAUAACUACUGGAAACGGUAGCUAAUACCGCAUAAUGUCGCAAGACCAAAGUGGGGGACCUUCGGGCCUCAUGCCAUCAGAUGUGCCCAGAUGGGAUUAGCUAGUAGGUGGGGUAACGGCUCACCUAGGCGACGAUCCCUAGCUGGUCUGAGAGGAUGACCAGCCACACUGGAACUGAGACACGGUCCAGACUCCUACGGGAGGCAGCAGUGGGGAAUAUUGCACAAUGGGCGCAAGCCUGAUGCAGCCAUGCCGCGUGUGUGAAGAAGGCCUUCGGGUUGUAAAGCACUUUCAGCGGGGAGGAAGGCGAUAAGGUUAAUAACCUUGUCGAUUGACGUUACCCGCAGAAGAAGCACCGGCUAACUCCGUGCCAGCAGCCGCGGUAAUACGGAGGGUGCAAGCGUUAAUCGGAAUUACUGGGCGUAAAGCGCACGCAGGCGGUCUGUCAAGUCGGAUGUGAAAUCCCCGGGCUCAACCUGGGAACUGCAUUCGAAACUGGCAGGCUAGAGUCUUGUAGAGGGGGGUAGAAUUCCAGGUGUAGCGGUGAAAUGCGUAGAGAUCUGGAGGAAUACCGGUGGCGAAGGCGGCCCCCUGGACAAAGACUGACGCUCAGGUGCGAAAGCGUGGGGGAGCAAACAGGAUUAGAUACCCUGGUAGUCCACGCCGUAAACGAUGUCGAUUUGGAGGUUGUGC